GACGAACGCUGGCGGCGUGCUUAACACAUGCAAGUCGAACGGAAAGGCCCUGCUUUUGUGGGGUGCUCGAGUGGCGAACGGGUGAGUAACACGUGAGUAACCUGCCCUUGACUUUGGGAUAACUUCAGGAAACUGGGGCUAAUACCGGAUAGGAGCUCCUGCUGCAUGGUGGGGGUUGGAAAGUUUCGGCGGUUGGGGAUGGACUCGCGGCUUAUCAGCUUGUUGGUGGGGUAGUGGCUUACCAAGGCUUUGACGGGUAGCCGGCCUGAGAGGGUGACCGGCCACAUUGGGACUGAGAUACGGCCCAGACUCGUACGGGAGGCAGCAGUGGGGAAUAUUGCACAAUGGGCGGAAGCCUGAUGCAGCAACGCCGCGUGCGGGAUGACGGCCUUCGGGUUGUAAACCGCUUUCGCCUGUGACGAAGCGUGAGUGACGGUAAUGGGUGAAGAAGCACCGGCUAACUACGUG
rnacentral:rRNA from 1 species